rnacentral:rRNA from 1 species
GAUGAACGCUGGCGGCGUGCCUAAUACAUGCAAGUCGAGCGAACAGACCAGGAGUUUGCUCCUCUGACGUUAGCGGCGGACGGGUGAGUAACACGUGGAUAACCUACCUAUAAGACUGGGAUAACUUCGGGAAACCGGAGCUAAUACCGGAUAACAUGUUGAACAGCAUGGUUCAACAGUUAAAGACGGUCUUUCUGUCAGUUAUAGAUGGAUCAGCGCCGCAUUAACUAGUUGGUAAGGUAACUGAUUACCAAGGCAACGAUGCGUAGCCGCCCUCAGGGGGAGAAUGGCUAGACGGGAAGAGAGACACAGUCGAGACUCCUACAGUGAGCCGCAGCAGGGAAUCUUCCGGGAUGGAGGAAAGGCUGACGGUACAAAGCCGCGUGAGUGAAGAUGGUCUUCGGAUCGGAAAACGCUGUUAGUAGGAAGGAAGUAAUGUGUAAGUAACUAUGAACGUAUUGACGGUACCUAAUGAAGAAGCCACGGCUAACUACGUG